UUGACCAAUUCGACCUCAAAUCAGGUAG
rnacentral:rRNA from 1 species